GUGCAUAGAAAAAGACAGGCAAAGAUCCCCGGGUUUAGAUAUCUGUUAAACAGUAUUGGAAAAACUAUCAGCCUUGUGUGUAGUGACUGUAAGUAGCAGCCUCCUUGGGAAUGUGUGAGCCUGUUGCCUAUAAAGGUUGCUCUAAGAAACCUCAGAGACAAUU
rnacentral:snoRNA from 1 species